AGGUGUCAAGCGAUCUGAAGAGAAAGUAUUCUGGGUGGACGUGAAGCACAACCCUAAACAAAAAGGAGAUUGGGAGUGUGGAUUUUUUGUGAUGCUAUAUAUGAAGCACAUUAUAGAAAGUUAUGACACUUCAAUGAGGAACCCUAAGGAGAUGUUUAAGUCGGGGAUGAACUAUGGUGCGACAGAAAUUGAUGAAAUCAAAAGGGAGUGGAUGGAUUAUAU